AUGAAUGUGACCUGGAGCAAGAGUGGGACAACCAUAAACUUCCCACCUGCCCAGGCCUCUGGGGGCCCGUACACCAUGAGCAGCCAGUUGACCCUGCCAGCUGCCGAGUGCCCAGAAGAAGAAUUUGUGACAUGCUCCGUGCAACAGGACUCCAACCCCGCCAAAGAGGUGGAAGUGCCGUGCAUAAAAAAUGGUACUAUUGUACUUCCGUGUCCCAUAGACUGCAAACCCCACCUUACACUGCACCGGCCAGCCCUUGAAGACCUGCUCCUGGGCUCAGAUGCCAGCCUCACAUGCACACUAAGUGGCCUGAAAAAACCCCAGAACACUGUUUUCACCUGGAAGCCCACCACUGGGAAGGAUGCAGUGACCAAGGGACCUGUGCCAGACUCCUGCGGCUGCUACAGUGUGUCCAGUGUCCUGCCUGGCUGUGCUGAGCGCUGGAAUAAUGGGCAGACCUUCACAUGCACAGUGACCCACCCUGAGUCUGGGACCCUAACUGCCACAAUUACCAAAGAGACAGUGGGCGUCUUACCACCCCAGGUCCACCUGCUGCCGCCGCCGUCGGAGGAGCUGGCCCUGAAUGAGCUGGUGUCCCUGACAUGCCUGGUACGGGGAUUCAACCCUAAAGACGUGCUGGUGCGUUGGCUGCAUGGAAACCAGGAGCUGUCCCGUGAAAACUACCUAGUGUGGGAACCCCUGAAGGAGCCAGGCGAGGGUGCCACAACCUAUGCGGUGACAAGCGUGCUGCGUGUGUCAGCCGAAGCCUGGAAACAGGGUGACAAUUACUCCUGCAUGGUUGGCCAUGAGGCUUUGCCCCUGAGCUUCACCCAGAAGACCAUCGAUCGUCUGUCGGGUAAACCCACCCAAGUCAACGUGUCUGUGAUCAUGUCAGAGGGAGAUGGUGUCUGCUACUGA